GAAAUGCGAUAAUUAAUGUGAAUUGCAGAAUUCUGUGAAUCAUCAAACUCUUGAACGCAACCUGCGCCUAGCAGCUAUCUGCUAGGCACACUUGUUAGAGUGUUGACAAUAUUCUCUAUCUCUUCUUAUUCUUCUCUCUCUUCUCUCUCUCUCUCUCUCUCUCUCUUUUUUUCCAUUUAUUUGGAAAAAGAGAAAAAGGAGGAGGAGGGAGGAGGAGAGAAAGAAGGGGUCACGUCAGUGCAGUUGUACGCAACAGCUCUGAUCAGAAGUAUGGUUUGGUUUGGGAUGAAAAAAGUUCAAAGUAACCCACAUAAUCUGAUAUGGAAGUCCUUUUUUUUGUGACUAAAAUCACCUCAGUUAUCGGUUAUUCAAUGAGCUUUUUUUUAAAAAAAUCCUCCAACUACUAAUAUGGAUACAAAAAAAAAAAAACAACAACACAAAUUCAACCUCUAAUCAAGUGGGACUACCCGCUGAAUUUAAGC
rnacentral:misc_RNA from 1 species